UCGAAGCCUAUAAAGCACGACCGCGAAUGAGUUUCAAAUCGGGGGCGUUGUUGGGAAGCUUUCGAGCAACCCAUUGCUCCCCCACUCGGAUGGGGAGGAGUCUCGCGCUGCUCACCUUCCAAAACUAACGAACCCCGGCGCGGCAAGCGCCAAGGAAUUAUAACGAAAGAACUUGUCCCUUAGGCCCGAUUAGGGUCGCGAGGGGCAUGAGUCUGUUCAAAUAUAUCAUAACGACUCUCGGCAACGGAUAUCUCGGCUCUCGCAUCGAUGAAGAACGUAGCGAAAUGCGAUACUUGGUGUGAAUUGCAGAAUCCCGUGAAUCAUCGAGUCUUUGAACGCAAGUUGCGCCCGAAGCCUUUAGGCUGAGGGCACGUCUGCCUGGGCGUCAUGCACUGCGAUGCCCCCAUCCAAGCAUGUGGAGCGAAGCAUGGCCUCCCGUGAGCCCAUCUCGCGGAUGGCUUAAAAUAGAGCCUCGAGACGGUGAGACGUCGCGACAAGUGGUGGUUAUGAGGCACUCGGCCUUCGAGCAUUUUCACGUCGUGAUCUCACCCCUCUCUUGCUCCUUAGUAACCCCAGUGGAGUGCUUUUGCGCUGCCAGCAUCG
rnacentral:misc_RNA from 1 species